UCCGGUUUGUCACCGGCAGUCUCAUUAGAGUGCCCAACUAAAUGUAGCAACUAAUGACAAGGGUUGCGCUCGUUGCGGGACUUAACCCAACAUCUCACGACACGAGCUGACGACAGCCAUGCAGCACCUGUGUUCCGAUUCCCUUUCGGGCACACCCAUAUCUCUACGGGCUCUCGGACAUGUCAAGGGUAGGUAAGGUUUUUCGCGUUGCAUCGAAUUAAUCCACAUGCUCCACCGCUUGUGCGGGUCCCCGUCAAUUCCUUUGAGUUUUAAUCUUGCGACCGUACUCCCCAGGCGGAGUGCUUAACGCGUUAGCUGUGUUACUAGAAAAAAUCUAACAACUAGCACUCAUCGUUUACAGCGUGGACUAC
rnacentral:misc_RNA from 1 species